GGGAUACUUACCCAAGUGGCUGAAGGGGUAGGCUUGGAAAGCUUAUAGAUGGGUAACACCAUGCGAGGGUUCGAAUCCCUCAGUAUCCGCCA
rnacentral:tRNA from 1 species